rnacentral:rRNA from 1 species
AGAGUUUGAUCCUGGCUCAGGACGAACGCUGGCGGCGUGCUUAAUACAUGCAAGUCGAACGCUCUCGACCUUCGGGUCACAUGAGAGAGUGGCGAACGGGUGCGUAACACGUGAGAAACCUGCCCCAAAGACGGGAAUAGCCCGAGGAAACUCGGAUUAAUACCCGAUACCUCCACAAUGCCGCAUGGCAAUGUGAAGAAAGUUCAGGCGCUUUGGGAGGGUCUCGCGGCCUAUCAGCUUGUUGGUGAGGUAACGGCUCACCAAGGCAUCGACGGGUAGCUGGUCUGAGAGGACGAUCAGCCACACUGGGACUGAGACACGGCCCAGACUCCUACGGGAGGCAGCAGUAGGGAAUCUUGCGCAAUGGGCGAAAGCCUGACGCAGCAACGCCGCGUGGGGGAUGAAUGCCUUCGGGUUGUAAACCCCUUUCAGCAGGGACGAAAAUGACGGUACCUGCAGAAGAAGCUCCGGCCAACUACGUGCCAGCAGCCGCGGUAAUACGUAGGGAGCGAGCGUUGUCCGGAAUUAUUGGGCGUAAAGAGCUCGUAGGCGGUUCAGUAAGUCGGGUGUGAAAACUCAAGGCUCAACCUUGAGACGCCACUCGAUACUGCUGUGACUUGAGUCCGGUAGAGGAGUGUGGAAUUCCUGGUGUAGCGGUGAAAUGCGCAGAUAUCAGGAGGAACACCAGCGGCGAAGGCGGCACUCUGGGCCGGUACUGACGCUGAGGAGCGAAAGCAUGGGGAGCAAACAGGAUUAGAUACCCUGGUAGUCCAUGCCGUAAACGUUGGGC